GUCAGGAUGGCCGAGCGGUCUAAGGCGCCAGACUCAAGAACAUGUUCCUUGCUUCAAUAAGAGAAGUUGCAGUAUUCUGGUCUUCAAUGAAGGCGUGGGUUCAAAUCCCACUCCUGACA
rfam:Daphnia pulex DAPPTscaffold_154_Cont6099, whole genome shotgun sequence.